UGGCUCAGAUUGAACGCUGGCGGCAGGCCUAACACAUGCAAGUCGAGCGGUAACAGGGGUAGCUUGCUACCCGCUGACGAGCGGCGGACGGGUGAGUAGUGCAUAGGAAUUUACCCGAUAGUGGGGGAUAACCUGGGGAAACCCAGGCUAAUACCGCAUACGUCCUACGGGAGAAAGGGGGCUUCGGCUCCCGCUAUCGGAUGAGCCUAUGCCGGAUUAGCUGGUUGGUGAGGUAAUGGCUCACCAAGGCGACGAUCCGUAGCUGGUCUGAGAGGAUGAUCAGCCACAUCGGGACUGAGACACGGCCCGAACUCCUACGGGAGGCAGCAGUGGGGAAUAUUGGACAAUGGGCGCAAGCCUGAUCCAGCCAUGCCGCGUGUGUGAAGAAGGCCCUCGGGUUGUAAAGCACUUUCAGCGAGGAAGAACGCCUG
rnacentral:rRNA from 1 species